UACGAAGGGGACUAGCGUUGUUCGGAAUUACUGGGCGUAAAGCGCACGUAGGCGGAUUUGUAAGUCAGGGGUGAAAUCCCGAGGCUCAACCUCGGAACUGCCUUUGAUACUGCAAAUCUCGAGUCCGGAAGAGGUGAGUGGAAUUCCUAGUGUAGAGGUGAAAUUCGUAGAUAUUAGGAAGAACACCAGUGGCGAAGGCGGCUCACUGGUCCGGUACUGACGCUGAGGUGCGAAAGCGUGGGGAGCAAACAGG
rnacentral:rRNA from 1 species